rnacentral:rRNA from 1 species
AUUGAACGCUGGCGGCAGGCCUAACACAUGCAAGUCGAGCGAGCGGCGGACGGGUGAGUAAUGUCUGGGAAACUGCCUGCUGGAGGGGGAUAACUACUGGAAACGGUAGCUAAUACCGCAUACCCUCAGAUGUGCCCAGAUGGGAUUAGCUAGUGGGUGGGGUAACGGCUCACCUAGGCGACGAUCCCUAGCCGGUCUGAGAGGAUGACCAGCCACACUGGGACUGCGACACGGUCCAGACUCCUACGGGAGGCAGCAGUGGGGAAUCUUGCACAAUGGGCGCAAGCCUGAUGGAGCCAUGCCGCGUGUGUGAAGAAGGCUGUCGGGUUGUAAAGCACUGUCAUCAGGGAGGCGUUACCUGCAGAAGAAGCACCGGCUAACUCCGUGCCAGCAGCCGCGGUAAUUC